AUUACUCGCUGUGGGAAAAAAAAGUUUCUAGCUGUUGGAUAGCACCGCCUGGCGGGCCGGAUAUGUUUGGGGGGUCAUUGAUAUAAUUUCAUCAUACGAUGACGCACAGGUAUUUCCUGAUCUAAAUCUAGAACCAAAUGCGUAGUAGCCAGAUUACGUGGCAGCAUUCCAAACUGGUCUUUUCUUGUUUACGUUGGAUCGUAUGAUACCGUCUAUUUUGAUUGAGUCUAAUAACAGAUUUUGUAGUUGCGACUAUUUUUUAAUAGGCUUAAGUUAACAUAAAUUUUAUUUCUAAACCGUUUCAACGAUUUUGAAUUACAGAUAACUACUCAUUGCGUUAACUGUCGUUAACAAUAGGAUAUUUUUAGCUGUAACCUUUAUGAAGCACAACAUGAGUAUGCCAGGAUCAAACUUUAUAACGUAACAGUUGAUAUUGUUUUUGUUACCACGUAUGACUCCAUUUAAAGCAAUGGCAGACCAAAGUCCUAUUGAUGAAGUGGAUAGGAUAGCUGUCAAUCAGUCUCAGAAUCUUGAAGAUGACACCUUACUGAACAUAUCACGGAACAGAAAAAGUGAAGCUCAAUGUAUCAGUCCGCUCCAUGAUUUGAGUCCAAAUGCUCUAGAAGUUAAAAUAAAAAUAGAGCCAAUCUAUGACGCCAUUGCAGUGCAUCCAGAUAUCGACAUCCAGCAGAAUAGGGUUCAAGAACUUCGGGGAACUGUAGACCACAUCGCCCUCUGGAAUAUAAAUGAGAAACUGUACAAAUUGGCUCACGUUAAAGGAAAAAAGAAUUUUAAACUGAAAUUUAUAGAUAAAUCCAAUUUAGUGACAGAGCAAAAUGUCCGGAACACUUCCAUUUAUUUAUUUCCAGACACUACAAAGAGUAUUACACUUGACGUGAAUAGUCUUGAAUGCCUGAACGAUGGAAGCAAUGUUCUGGUUUGUCACAAUGUACCAAUAGAGAUCUUUCCAAUACUGCAACAAAUUAACAACAACAAAUUGGCUAUAAAGCAGAACGGUAAACAAAAAAAUGGUUUCGCGUAUUUUAAAUAGAACAGCUGAGAUGCUCUAAAUACCUUGCAGUCACAUUUCUUUUAAAAAUGUGGAAAUAAAAAGAUUUCGAUUGUGAUAUUCGUGCCCUGGAAUAUGUAGAGACUUUUGAUUGAAAUAUAGCGAAAUAUGAAAAAUAGACAUCGUAUCCAUUAACAUCUGAUUGCAUUUACUACAAUGUACAAAACCAGCUCUAAAAAACAAAUAUUGCAAACAUGUCAGAAAAGGCUUUGGACAUACCAUUGUAAGCCUUUAGAAAGCUGUAUUAGUCUUCUGUGACUGCAAGGAUCUAAGAUCCUAAUACUUUUUUUUGUGUGAAGACUCUUGCUAAUCACUGGGAGAAAAAGAUGCAUAUAUUGAUGAUGUCAUUCAAUUCUUCAUCGAGGAAAGCAAUGACGUAACGCUAAUUACUUUGUCAAAUCAAAGAUUAAUUUCUUCUGACCUUUUUGUUUCAAUUCGAUUAAAUACAGACGUUUGUCACUUUGCAAAAGUCAUUACAAGUCUAUGAAGUUUUAGCUUGACUCGGGCUGCAUAAUGGCUGCUAAUACAGUUGGAUAGUCAAUAGAGGUUUCAUUCCUUCGUCUCAAAUGAUAGUUCCGAGGUAGGGAACCAAACCUGAACUACUGGCUAGAACUGCACACUCCACAGCAGCACAUGAGAAUCUAUAGACAAUCUAUAAAGACGCAAGCGUAGCCUUGGAGUAUUAAAGUCAUCAAUGCUCUCCUUUGGUGACGGCCACAUACUUAUAUGCUUGCGAAUCUUUAAAGCUAACUGCAGAAUUAGAGAGGAGGAUCCUAGUUAUGGGAUGACUCCGAAACUGCCAGGGUAGUCUGGCACCACAUGCGCCGCCCAAAUCGAGAGGACCCGUGGUGGAGGCUAAAAAAGAUCGGAACAAUCGAUAAUAGCGCAGUGGCGUACGGGACACUGCCCCAUUGGUGCGUACUUCGCCCGGUUCCGGCCAAACAUUGAUGCCCGUUGCCGACACUACGGAAAAUCAGAAGAGACGGUGGCGCACGUCUUGCAAGAGUGCCCGCAGCUCCCCGAGCUGCGAGGAGACGUAUGCAGUGGUACACUUAAUUUGUACGGAAGCUAUGAGGCACUACGCCACACAGCAGAGUUACUUACCAGGGCACUACUGGAGACUUAGGUCUCCCUGCCUUGUCACCAACUGGAGUUCAUCUCAGUUAUGGGAUUCAGAUGCUAUAGGAUUUUAGCAUCACCUAUAAAGACCGCAUCACAAAUGGGGAAAUUCUGCUGACCACAGUUAGAAAAUGUGUAUGACCAUAUCGCGAAAUCUUCCAAACUAGCAAAGACUUUCCUGAAGGGAACAAUACCAGGGGGAAAAAAGAAAAGGCAGAUAACAUCAAAGCAUGAACGGACUUGUCAUAUAAAGAAAUUCUUAUCAGGGCGAAAGACAGAUAGAAAUGGAGUAAGUUUGUCCACAGGUCAUGUGUUCAACGGUCCAACAAACAAAGGGAUAGUUGCAGGUGAACACGUUAACAGAGAGAAGUUUCUAAAACCAAAUUGUAAAGUAACAAAAAAAUUUCUUUCUUUAUAAUAAGAUUAAAUCUUUGUGGCUAGUCUGUGUUCAGUUCCAAUGCUUAGAUAAGACUUUGCAGCCAUCUCUGAGUUCAUUGGAAAUGAGAUUGCAUUCACCUUCGACCUCGAAGGAGGAGCUUAUUGGUUUUAGGGUCACAAUAAAGAAAUUGAUGGUGUUUCUAUUUAAAUUAGUUGUUAAUCUUAAUUUCUUGAUUAAGAUACAGUUCUUUUAAACUGCUGCUAUACCAACAUUUUGUAACUAAAAAUGUUUAUAUUUUAAUUUUGAUAUGUACUGGUGGUGAGGUGGGCCAGUAGUAAAGCGCAUUGAUUCCGAACCGAGGAUCCCGGAUUCGAAUCCUGGUGAGGGUCAUUAGCUCCCCUCCCCCCUAGUCCACCAAACCAUAAUGUGUACCUGACAUUAGUUGGGGGAAAGUAAAGACGGUUGGUCGAUGUGCUGGCCACAUGACACCCUCAUUAACCGUUGGCCAAAGAAACAGAUGACCUCAACUAAGACUAAGACUGCUUUAUUGAUCCUUAUGGAAAUUUGUUGAGAUUGCAAGGACUCUUUUCUCAUAUAAAGACAACACAACAGAAACAUACACAUAAAUACAACAGACACAACAUAAAGAGUUCAUUCAGCGACUACACACAGGCAUCUUGGUCCUUUUCAUGUUUUUUGAUCAAAUGGGUGGUGUUGAUAAAGUUUGACCGAGUAAUAACAUUGUCUGCCCCAUCGAUCGCAAGGUCUGAAAGGGGAAUUUUUACUAGCAACAUUGACGUUCAAUUCAUCCUUGAACAUGUUUAGCUUAUAGGCUAUCCUGAAAAUCUUCAAUAAAAAUCCACUCAUUGACCUAAUGUCCUAAAAGGCAAAGACUUGACUCUCAAGACAAUCAAAACUAUGGUGCCCAACCCAACGCAGUUGAAGAGGGCUGGAAGGAGGUGCGUGCGGUUUCCACACUGAGGUCAGCGUCAAAAGCAUAUUUUGCCUUGACUGAAAUCGGUGCAGUAUUAUGAAAACAUGCAUAGUGAAUGUGUCCUCCUUUAUUAAUAACUUCAAAAUAACCAAAUGGACAAUAUUUAUAAAAGUUGGUUAUGUAAAUAUAUACAUAGUAUUUUUACCUAUGUCUUUAUUGUGUAAUACUCUGUUGCAUUAUAUGUAGGAAUGUUUUAUUUAUUAUUAACAGUAUUGUUGUUACUUAAAUAAGUUUUCUUGUCCAGUAAUAUAUCUUUGAUAGCAUUUCAAAGUAAUAUUUAUUGAUGCAUUUCACUUUGCAAUGCUAAAAGAACAAUUUAGAAACUUUGUUUCAACUUUGUUUUUAAUCUGCAGAUUCUAUUUACCAAUAAAUGUGAUAUUUGUAUGAAG